AAUGACGUCAAGUCAUCAUGGCCCUUACGGCCUGGGCUACACACGUGCUACAAUGGUCGGUACAAAGGGUUGCCAAGCCGCAAGGUGGAGCUAAAUCCCAUAAAACCGAUCGUAGUCCGGAUCGCAGUCUGCAACUCGACUGCGUGAAGUCGGAAUCGCUAGUAAUCGUGAAUCAGAAUGUCACGGUGAAUACGUUCCCGGGCCUU
rnacentral:rRNA from 1 species